rnacentral:piRNA from 1 species
UGAAUCCUUGUGUCACUUCUUUAGGGUGAAAA